CCUACGGGGUGCUGCAGUGGGGAAUAUUGGACAAUGGGCGAAAGCCUGAUCCAGCCAUGCCGCGUGUGUGAAGAAGGGCUUCGGGUUGUAAAGCACUUUCAGUGGGGAAGAAAGCCUUGGGGCUAAUACCCUCGAGGAAGGACAUCACCCACAGAAGAAGCACCGGCUAACUCCGUGCCAGCAGCCGCGGUAAUACGGAGGGUGCGAGCGUUAAUCGGAAUUACUGGGCGUAAAGCGCGCGUAGGCGGUCUGAUAAGCCGGUUGUGAAAGCCCCGGGCUCAACCUGGGAACGGCAUCCGGAACUGUCAGGCUAGAGUGCAGGAGAGGAAGGUAGAAUUCCCGGUGCAGCGGUGAAAUGCGUAGAGAUCGGGAGGAAUACCAGUCGCGAAGGCGGCCUUCUGGACUGACACUGACGCUGAGGUGCGAAAGCGUGGGUAGCAAACAGGAUUAGAUACCCUUGUAGUC
rnacentral:rRNA from 1 species